ensembl:miRNA microRNA 128-2
GGGGGCCGUUACACUGUCAGAGAUGUAGUCUGAGGGUCUCACAGUGAACCGGUCUCUUUUCCUGCUG